rfam:Tenericutes bacterium 4572_104 ex4572_104_scaffold_335, whole genome shotgun sequence.
GGUCCGGUGGUGUAGUGGUUAACAUGCCAGUCUGUCACACUGGAGAUCGCGGGUUCAAUUCCCGUCCGGACCG